AGCUUUGCGCAGUGACAGUAUCGUGGCCAAUGAGGUGUAUCCGAGGCGCGAUUAUUGCUAAAGAUGUAACAUGGAAAACGGAAGUGAAUUUUCAGCCCCCAAAAUAUAAUUGCUAAUGGAUUAG
rnacentral:snRNA from 1 species